UACGGAGGAUGCGAGCGUUAUCCGGAUUUAUUGGGUUUAAAGGGUGCGUAGGUGGUUAAUUAAGUCAGCGGUGAAAGUUUGUGGCUCAACCAUAAAAUUGCCGUUGAAACUGGGAGACUUGAGUGCAGAAGAGGAGAGUGGAACUCCAUGUGUAGCGGUGAAAUGCGUAGAUAUCACGCAGAACUCCGAUUGCGAAGGCAGCUUACUAAACUAUAACUGACACUGAAGCACGAAAGCGUGGGGAUCAA
rnacentral:rRNA from 1 species